GACGAACGCUGGCGGCGUGCCUAAUACAUGCAAGUCGAACGAACCGCGACUAAGUGCUUGCACUAAGUCAAGGUGAGUGGCGAACGGGUGAGUAACACGUGGGUAACCUACCUCAUAGUGGGGGAUAACAGUCGGAAACGACUGCUAAUACCGCAUAGGACAUAGGAUCACAUGAUCCAGUGGGGAAAGGUGGCGCAAGCUAUCGCUAAGAGAUGGACCCGCGGUGCAUUAGCUAGUUGGUAGGGUAAAGGCCUACCAAGGCGAUGAUGCAUAGCCGACCUGAGAGGGUGAUCGGCCACAUUGGGACUGAGACACGGCCCAAACUCCUACGGGAGGCAGCAGUAGGGAAUCUUCCGCAAUGGACGCAAGUCUGACGGAGCAACGCCGCGUGAGUGAAGAAGGUCUUCGGAUCGUAAAGCUCUGUUGUUAGAGAAGAACAGCGCAUAGAGUAACUGCUAUGCGUGUGACGGUAUCUAACCAGAAAGCCACGGCUAACUACGUG
rnacentral:rRNA from 1 species